AUGCCAACCGCCGUUAAACCAAAUCGAAGAAGAACUAUCGCUUAUUAUCUUAUCAGUACAAACUUUAAGUGUGUGCAUCAUAUGUGUCAAAUUUUGGAACGCUCAACUCACCAUAGCCCCGCCUCCUCAGUUCCGGCAUUUUGGCUCCGGAAGUACCGUACUUUUUUUGGUUCACAGGAAAAGGAAAAAAAACUGCUGUUGGGAAACAAAACAGCAAAAAUGCCUGCCCCUAAAAGACACAAGUCUUUUCAGGAUCCUCAAGCGAAGAGAAGAAAGGAGGAUCAGAAUGAAGUCGCCAUGCCAUCCAACAAAACGACACCAGCCUCUGCAACGUCAAGCAACCCCCAAAGAGAAGCACCUUUGCGGAGAAGGAAUAAGAAAAAGCCCCCCGCAGAACUAAAAGAGGGAAAUAAACCUGCAGGGUCCAGCCGCCAUUCCUCCAAGACCAAAUCAACUCAAAAGGCCAGGACUAGGACCAAGUUCAAUCCACCUGUAAAGAACGCCAAGCUGCUGAAAGCCAUAAGUGCCCCCUCAAAGAAUCCCAACUCUAAAGGAACCCUAAAAAGACCAGCCAAGAUCUUCAAAACUGCUUCCACAGAGUCCGAUGAGGAGCUUAUCAGAACUCAUAAACCCCAUUGCAUCAGAAAAUACUCUAAUGGGGAUCGAGGUAAGCGUAAAGGGUCACAGUCUAACCUGAAUGAAGAAGUAUUGCUCUCAGACCCUGUGCAGAGGGAUCACAAUUAUGGUAUACCCUCUGCGUCUUAUGGUAGUCAUUCUGAAGUUGAGGAAAAUAAAAGGAAAAGAGUCAGAGAGUCCACCAGAGGCCCAGAGACCCAGAGAGAUGUGAAGAUGGAAUCUCAAAUGUCUUCAGAACCCUUACCUGAACAACCUGGACAGAUGAAGCGGAGCAGUGAGACGCAUGAGGUGCAGGAUAAUUCCAUGACCACCCCAACAGAUGAAUUUAGUGAGAUUGUCAACACCAAGCCUGACAUAAAAAUGUCUCCUCCAGCAUCCCCUGAGAAAGCUUCAGACCCCAUCCAUAAGCAGAUGAACCAGAAUAAUUCCAUGACCACCCCAACAGAUGAAUUUAGUGAGAGUGUCAACACCAAGCCUGACAUAAAAAUGUAUCCUCCAGCUUCCCCUGAGAAAGCUUCAGACCCCAUCCAUAAGCAGGUGAACCAGAGUAGAGUGAAACAUGAGGAGCAGAAUGAUUCCGUGACCAUCCCUACAUAUCAAGUUAGUGAGAGUGUAGCAAGCAAGAUGGAUGCAUAUAAAAAGUCUGCAGACCCCAUACCUGAACUACUAAAACAGAGCACUGAGACACAGGAUAUGCAGGAAAAUUCCAUGACCACCCAUACAGAUAAAGUUAAUGAACAUUUAGAGACUAAGGUCGGUGCAAAAAUAUUGUCUCCUCCAGCCAUCGGCUUAGUAGCAUAUAGUAGCAGUAGUGAUUCUGAAUGUGAAAGUGAGGGAAAUGACAGGACGGGAGUCACAGAGUCAAUAGAUGUGAAGAUGAAAACUCAAGCAUCUUCAGAGAAGGCUUCAGACCCUGUCCCUGAACAGGUGAAGGAGAGCAGUGAGACGAGGCAGAUGCAGGAGGAUCCCAUGACCACCCCUACAUAUGAAGUUACCGAGGAUUCCAUGACCACCCCUACAUAUGAAGUUACCGAGGAUUCCAUGACCACCCCUAGUGAGAGUGUAGACACCAAGCUUGAUGCAAAUAUAAAGCCUCCUCCAUCUAUAGAAGUAUAUUCAGAGGAGGCUUCAGACCCUGUCCCUGAACAGGUGAAUCCUGAACAGGUGAAUCAGAUAUACAUUGAAAUAGAGAAGGUGCAAGAAGAUUCCAUGACCAGCCCAACAGAUGAAGUAUGUGAACUUUUAGAUGGCACGCUUGAUGCAGAAAUAAUGUCCCUUCUACCUUUAGAAGCAUCCUCUGAGGAGACCCAUACAUUUGAAGUUAGUGAGAGUGUAGAGACCAAGUGUUCAGAACUUUCACCUGAACAUGUGACACAGAGCACUGAGAUGCAGGGAGAUUCCACGCCAACCCAUGCAGAUCAAGUAAGUGAGAGUGUAGACGCCAAGCUUGAUAUCGAAGUAAAUUCUGCUCCACCUGUAGAACUAUCCUCUGAGGAGACUUCAGACAUUGUCUCUGUCUCAGAACAGGUGCUGCAGAGCAGUGAGAGACAGGAAGUCCAGGAAGAUUCCAUGACCACCCCUACAGAUGAACUUAGGGAAAGUUUAGGAACAAAGUUGGGUGCUAAAAUAAAGUCUCCACCCUUAGAGGUGCUUUUCAGUGCUCUAAAGGAGUCCAGUCUUUGCAAACAUCCCCUGUCUCAUACGAUGCGCUCAAAUGUCAAAGAGUUUCUGGGAGUAGAGGAUUCUUUAGAAAUCACUAAAAAAGACUGUGACUUUGGUGUAACGGAGAGCAUUGAGUGUACUUUAGACCUGGAGACUCCGAUUAUUGUCGAGGAUAUGGAGAUCGGCCACUGUGUUGUGGAGGUGGUGGGAGAGAAUGGAGAUGAGGUGGAUAGUGAUCUGGAAAUCAUAGACAAUUCUGAGAGGCCAGAGAAGACACUUGAGCUAACCAAAGGGUCUGAAGAAGAGUGCAGUGUGGAUAAAAGUGAAGAUGGUAUUGAAAAGAAAGGCACAAGUUCCUCUAACCAAGACAGCACAAAUAGUGGGAAGAAGGAAGCUACUAAAAAAACACAGGGUAGCUUGGAAAAACCCAAGAAACAGCAGAUGAACCCUCAGGCCCGGACCAAAGCCCGACUAGCAGCGCUCGCUGAGCAAAAGGCAGCUGCCUCCAAAAAAGCGAGCAGGCAGCUCAACCUCCUGGCCCUAUGUGAAGAAAUAGCAGAUGAUAUCGCCACUGACACAAUGUUAAUAAAGACGAAGGAGGAGGAGGAGCAGGUUGUAACAGUUAAGGCUGAACCCAGCAAGGAGCCAGAAUGCACACCGCCUGUCACACAGGCUGAGACUGUUCCGAUACCUCCUACUCCUGCCCGGCCCGAGGAACCGUCUCCAGCAGUAGAACCCUCCACUGAGGAGCCUGCUCCAGCCAAGCCCCUAGCUCCAGAGCCACCUCAGAGGCGUUUCUUCAUCAGCCAAGUGACGGUACCCCUCAAAAUCCACGAGAAGAAGAAGCUUACCAGGUUCCAGAGGCUGCGGCAGGUGGAACUGCAGCGGGAGAAGAAUAUGUCCUGGACCAUGGUGAAGAAGCUCAAGUCCGAUCAGAAGAUGAUUCCAGAGACUGAGACUAAACCUUCCCCUCCAGCAGCAGCACCUGUCCAAGUGACCACCCCCCCACCCCCCUCAUCCAGUCCAGCAGCACCCACAGUAGCUGCACUCUCCCCAACCAGUCAAGAAGUGACCCCAAAAAUUGAGCCCCCAAAAGUUGAGCCCCCAAAAGUUGAGCCCCCCAAAGUGACCCCCAGUAAGGGACCCACCCUGAGAAAGAGGACGCUUCCAGCAGAACCCCCGCCGAUGCCCAACGGGCUGAAAGCUCAGAAGGCCAAGCCUGUGGUGGAGUAUAAGCCUUACAAAUCCAGGCCCAAGUACUCCUUUGAUGACUUUGAAUGUGAUGACGAGCCGAAACCCACAGUGCAGAAGGCAGCAGUGAGACCUACAGCUACUACUAUUCAGAGGGCAGCAGUUAAACCUACAGCCGUUCAGAGGGCAGCAGUGAGACCGACACCUAGUACCAUUCAGAGGGCAGCAGUGAGAACUACACCUACCACCAUUCAGAGGGCAGCAGNNNNNNNNNNAUGAGUUUUUGGGUCAAAAAUGGUAUUCAAAUGAAUUCUUACCCUCUUAAUUUCUCCUUCCACAGGACUCAAAACCUACCGUGCAGAAGCCAGAAAACAGGGGUCAGAAAACAAUAGGACCUACUGCCCUGAAAACAGUAGGACCUACCACGCCGAAAACAGGACAUAUCACACAGAAAACAGUAGGACCUACCGUGCAGAAUACAGUACCAACUGUACAGAAGGCCGUAGAGAUACCAACCCCUAUGUCCAAAAAUGGUAAACAUGAGGUAAGUUUCUUAGUUGUGAUAAUACAAAUGUAUUAUUUACAUUUCUAUAGCGCUUUUCAUACAUACAAGCAAUAUAUCAUGACGGGUCAGCCAAUAGAGGCCAAGUCUUUGAAAGCUGCAUCCUUCAAAGAUGGAGAGGAGGGAUACUUUAAUAGCUUGAGCGGAGAGAGCUGUUCAGAGGAUGGUAGAGGAUGGAGUCUGCUGAUGAUCUUGUAUAGGGAAAAACUGGGUACCAGCCUGACUCUUAUAGCCACUUAGGUGAUGCUCUGGGAACAAUAAAGCUCAUCACACACAGUUCAGUAUAAUAGCCAGUCGUCCUCAUUACGUGUCUUCUGCCUGAGAUGUAUUACUAGAUCUCCCAUUCCUCUCACACUUCAGGCGACUCCUCAAAUGAUGUUCUAAGAAGAUCAAUAAUUGGCAGCCACUCACUCUCACUCACUCAUCCCCAUAGCUCCGGCUGGCGCAUAGGGCAGUAACAAAGGCACUCCAUUUCUGUCUGUCUCUAGCCGCCUUCUCCACUGUGCCCCAGCUCUGCUGAUGUUGUUGAAGCUCAGUCUCGAUUGUUCUCCUCCAUGUUGUGGCCUCCCCCUCUUACAUCUGUCCUCUGGAGUCCAAUGGACUGCUAUUCUUGGGAUAGAGUCUGUACUCUUUCUCAUGUACUCCAGCGGUGUCUCUUGAGUACGGCAGCUAUUGCUUCCUGCUUUGUUCAUAUAAGGAGGUUGGUGUUUGCUAUUGUGUUUGGCCAGAAGAUGUUCAUGAAGUUGUGUGGAAGGUAGAUUGUUUUUUCAGAUCUGCUUCUGUCAUUUUCCAGCAAUCUGAACCAUAAAGGAGAGUUGCCAGUACACAGCUCUGCAAUAUUUAGAGUUUUGUAUUUGUGUUGUCUGGAUUUCCAGACGUUAUUGAACUUCAUAAAGAUUGCUUUAUUGAUUCUGGUGCAGAUGUCUUUGCUGGCUCCCAAGGUAACUAAAACUGUAGCUUAACUCCAGGUCCUGUUCCUUGAUUUUGACUGAUUUUGCUGUGUUGAUGGACAUGACCUUUGUCUUGCUGCAGUUGAUAACCAGGCUGACUUGCUGGCCAAACGGCUGGACAGUUUUCUCGUGUGUGUGUGUGUGAUAAAAGGGCCAGGUCAUCUGUGAAGUCAAGGUCUUUCUAGAGUAGAAUACCAGGUCCAUUAAAUCAAAUCAAAUUUUAUUUGUCACAUACACAUGGUUAGCAGAUGUUAAUGCGAGUGUAGCGAAAUGCUUGUGCUUCUAGUUCCGACAAUGCAGUAAUAACCAACAAGUAAUCUAGCUAACAAUUCCAAAACUACUACCUUAUAGACACAAGUGUAAGGGGAUAAAGAAUAUGUACAUAAAGAUAUAUGAAUGAGUGAUGGUACAGAGCGGCAUAGGCAAGAUACAGUAGAUGGUAUUGAGUACAGUAUAUACAUAUGAGAUGAGUAUGUAAACAAAGUGGCAUAGUUAGUGGCUAGUGAUACAUGUAUUACAUAAAGAGGCAGUAGAUGAUAUAGAGUACAGUUAUAUUCCUCUUGCCUGAUCUUCUGUGGUUCGCCACAUGACCCAAUCUAUUGUCAGGUUGAAGAGUAAGGCUGACCUCACACAACCUUGACGAACUCAGCUUCACAACAAAGCUCAUGUUGCUCGUUACCACAGAGGAUGAGAAAGUUGCUGUAGAACUGUUUUAUGAUGUUUAACAACAUGGGUGGGGAUUCCAUAAGUUCGUAAGAUCUUCCAUAGGCCUUCUGGAAAUCAAUAAAAUUGUUGAGUUUGUUGCCACUCACUACAUUGCUCAAUGAUGUUUCUGAGGGCAAAGAUCUGGCCUGUAGGGCUCCUUCCUCCCUCCCUUGUUUGUUCCUAAGCACUUUGUCUACAGCUGAAGACAUCCGUUGUACGAUCAUUUUGAAAAAGGUCUCGCUGGGAAGAGAUAAAGGUGCGUUGCCCCUCCAGUUGUUGCAAUCGAAUAGAGUGCCCUUUGGUACCCGUAUGAUGACCCCCCCCUGGGUCCAAUCUGAAGGUAUCUUUCCCUUCAACCAGAAAUCAGUGAAAAGUGAAAGGAUGUUUGCAGCCACUACUGGAUCGAUUUUGAACAGCUCGGCAUUGAGGUUAUCAGGAACUGUAGCUUUCUCAUUUAGUGACUUGAUGAUGGUGAUUAUUUAUUCUUUGGUUGGUGGGUUGGUGUUUAUGUUUAGAUCUUCUAGAGCAGCUUCAGGUGUUGUGUGGUAAUUGGAUCCACCUGGGGUUCUCUGUUGAGACCUCUGAAAUGUUCUGUCCAUUUUGCCUGCUGUUCAUUUUCCGUCGUCAGGAGAUUGCCUUGCUUGCCUUUUUGAUUUGAGUAUUUGACUUGAAUUUUCUGCCACAGAUUAGGUUAGUGAUUUUCCUCGCUGGUUGCUUGCGGCUGCUUUUUCAGGUAGGCCCUUUUGUUUCUUCUUACUGGCCUUUUGGCUUGUGUAGACUUUUCUGUACUGCUCCUCCAAUUCUACUUUUAGCCUUUUGAUUUGGAAACACUUCCCAUGUUUCUGGGGUGAUCCAUUCCUCGCGUUGCCUUCUGUGUCCUAUGGUUUUCCUGCUGCUUUCACUGUAAGCUCUAACCACUUUCCCCCCACUUCCUGUCUAUUUUCCUCAGUCGCCGCCUCGUCUUUUUCUUCUGUGUUGUUUGAAAGGGCUUGAUACUUGUUGCGAACUUGCAUUAUGAAGGUUUUCUUGACGGUUUGGUACCUCAGCAUGCCAACGUCAAAUCUUGUCCCUUUUUGUCAGUGGUCUGACAAAAGAUCGAUGUCGGCAGUCAGAAGAUGGUGGCCGCUGGCCACAUCUGCUCCCUUUCGCACCUUGAUGUCCCUCAGUGAGCUUCUCAGCUUGCCGUUGGUUUCCUUUCCAUUAGUUUUCUCUACCCCUUUUUGUAGGAUGAUGGCGACACCUUCACGAUGUUGUCCGUCCUCCCACCCAGAGUGUCGUACUGGUUCUCCAGUGCUGGUUCUCGUGGAACCAGAGCUAGUCCACCUGGCUUCACUCACUCCCAGGAUCUGUAGCUUGUAUCUCCUCACUUCGUUGGUAACCUGUGCCAGCUUUUCCGGAGUCCAACUUUGUUUGAACAUUCCAUAAGCCAACGUGCAGUUUGUAUUUGGUGUUCAGUGCUCCCAUCUUCACUCAGCAGUUUUCCGUAGGCUUAAACUGAUGGCAGUCAUACAAGUCUGGGGGAUCUUUUCAUCCAGUUGUAGGACUGUCAUUUGUUGCUGUUUCUGUACCUCAAAAUGUUUUACGGGAUGGGGUUGCUAGCCCCCAUACCCAACCGUCCACUUCUGGUUUGAGGAGAUUUUGGAAUUGGCAGCCAGGUGAAACAAAAAAAAGCUGGUACUAUGUCCAGAUGCACUUUAGCUUGCUAGCCAUGACAAAAAAAGUGUUAAUCUGCUAAUCUGUAGUUUAAAAACACCAGAUAUAUAUGCAAGAAAUACUCUUAUCAAAAACAAAAGAGCUGAUUUUAAAAAUCAACAAUUUAUAAACACCUAAAAAAAUAACUAUGUACACAUUUGCAGUAGCUGUAUGCUUAGGUUGCUAUUAGGGCACAUUGGCAACUAUAGAACUAUCCUACUUGAAAUAACUUUCUUGGUUGUUAUGCUACUUCAGGUAACUUUCUUGGUUGAUAUUUUACUUGUUUUUUAUGCUAUCAGACAUUGAAAGCGACCAUGCAUUUUUUUGUGUGUCCCUGUUGGAUUUGAACCCACGACCUGCUAGAGUGUAGCCCUAGCAACGCUCUUAAACACAUCCUUAUCAUUUGUUAAAUAUUGUCUUGUGUGGUACUGUAACUGUCUUUAUCUCCCCUCCUUCCACAGGACUGCAAACUUACUGUACAGAAUGCAGUAGUACCUACCGUACGCAAGGCAGACAUGCCUAGACCCAGUGUACAGAAGGCAGCGGUGGUACCUAUAUCUUCCAAAACGGAGCAGAAAGCAGAAGCACCACCUACGGCCAAAACUGGCGAAGAUGAG
rnacentral:lncRNA from 13 species